ensembl:lncRNA
UGUGCUUGUUUUUGCUCUACAGUUGCCCUUAACUAAGCGAUUUAAGGCAACUAAUAGAAGGCCCUGAAGUCAAUAAUCAAUAGUAAUCUACAAAGCAGCAUUACAUGUCUGAAUACUUUUGGGUGUAUGUUUUAUCUUUAUCAUCCUGAACAACACUGACAGUACUGAGUAGAGUUUAAAUAAAGAGAAACAGAGCUCAAUUCUCUGUAUAAAUCUUCAAUUUGUUUAAUGCAAGCAGUUUCAGUAUAUCAUGACAGAUUUUUUCUUUAGAAGGAAAAAGGAAUUAUUACAUUGAUGUAGUCUAUACAUUUUGGGGGUUUUUUAUUCCUAAUUUGCGUAACCUACUUGUAUUUUUUAUUAUUACUAUGCUGUAUUAUAAUUAUACAAAAUAAAUGCAAAGUUGCACACACUAUCACACGAUUUAAACAUAUGAAACAUGAUUGGGUAAUCAUACAGGGCGUUAUUCACAUAGCUUAUGUUUCAGGAAUGCCACAGUCAGUCAAACUGUCCAUUUGAUGGAGGAGCAGUGCGGUGACAAGGAGUGUGACGAUUACAUAUCACAAAUUCUUCGCCCGAUUUCAUAGGGUAUUACUCAUUAAUGACACACGUUACACACAUUACCCUUUCAGUGGAUAAAGUUAUUCCCAUCAUAGAUGGGAUUCCAUCUCCUACUUAAAUAUGCAAUCAUGAUGAAGUAGAUGCAUUUUUAAAAAUAUGCUUCAUUAUUAUUGUGUGUGUUACCCAAUUUAGUAUCUAAUUCUUGCGAAGCCAUUCUUUGCACUUUACCAGAAGGUCCUCUUGGAUUUUCAAUGUGAACAACGUCCCUUUUUCAUAGCCAAUCACAGCAGACAUUUCCAAAAGGAAUUCCACAAGAGCAUCAGGACAUGUUAUUGGUGGCCUGACAUGAGCCAUGACAGCAGCACCAUACAGGAUGCAGUGAGUAGACUGCUCUUGUGGAUCACUCCACUAUUUACCUCUGUAAAUGGGAAGGGGGAGAAAAGUCUUUAACAAAUGGUUCUAAGAUAUUGCAAUUCCUUUUUAAUAUGAUUGCAUUAAAAAUUGCUUACUUGUGCCAUUGACAACAACACUGGUAGGGUCAAUGUUGAAGGCUGUUAUGUUUGAGGCAGCAUUGAUUAAAACAAUUCCAAUGUCAGUUAUAUUAGGGACCCCUGAAGAUGGAAAUCCAAUGUUCAUUUCAUUGAUAAUUGAUCCACUUCUGCAAAAUGAAUAAAUAAAAAUAUUGUGUUAUUUUCAUAAUUGUAUUAAUAUUAUUAUUGUUGUUGUUGUUAUUAUUGUUGCAUUUGUAAAUUUCCAUCCGUAUAUAAAACAGGAAUUACCUGAAUAAAGUCACUGUCAGUGACCGGAAUGAGUUCAAUCGUUGUAUAUAAAACGGUGUAAGCUGCAAAAACACAAAAUAUUCUCUGAAUACAUGUGCUAUAUUGUUAGGUUUUGCAUUUAUUUAUUUUCCAAAACAAACACUGAAUUAUAAUGCAAUAUGUAACUUUAUGCAAUAAUAUAUAAUUUUAUCAACUGUUCAUACAAUUUCCAUUUCGAUGGUCACAUAUUGAAUCCAUUUCCCUUUUCAUUUUACUGAUAAAAGCAGACAGGACUUGUCAGAAGCACUCACAUUUUUUAACAUAGAAAAUUAAAUUUGUUUGCACAUUUGUUUUUACUGUGAAGAUCAUGCAAAUGUUUCUAAUUUUCACUAUCCAAUCAGGUUCCAAACUAUGAUGGGAAAUUUACUACACUUGUAUUUCAAAAGAAAAUUCUAAAUAUUUGUAAAGAAGAUGAAAAAUACAAAGAAAUCUAUCAUUAUGCACAUAUACUGCAAUACUAUAAUAGCUCGUGUUUUCUUUUUUUUAAUAAUAUGCAUAUGUUUGGGUAUGACAUUUUAAGAUGGAUACUUACUGUUGUUUCUAUGAGCGUCCUUCGAUUUCUAAAUGCUGUAGAUGUAGAAUUCGCCAAGUCUUGUGUGAAUGUUUCAUUUGAGGUGAAUGUAAGCUUUACUUCUGUUACUGGCUCAGCUGUUGUAAUUGUUACAGGUGUAGUGGUUGUAGGAGUCGUUGUGGUUGUGGUUGUGUUUGUAGUAUUCAUUGUCGUUGCAGUGUUUACAGGUGUAGUUGAAGCUGUUGUAGGCACCGCAGAUGUAUUUGUAAUAGGUGUGGUGUUUGUAACAUUUGCUGUGAUUGCAUUUGUAACUGCAGUCAUCAUUGGUGUUGUAGCGCUCACAGUUGUAGUUGAAGCUACUGUUAAAUGCCAAGAAAAGAAAACAAGCCGAUGGUUUAACAAAAAGUUUUAAGAUAUUGUGAGUUUAAAGUAUAAUAACAUGAAAUAUUGCUUACCUAUUUCACGGACAACCACAGAGUUUGUGGUAAUGUUGAAGGCUGUUAUAUUUGAGGCUGAAUUGAUCAAAACAUUUGCAAUAUCAGUUGUAUUCGGCACAGCUGAAGAUCCAAACUCAAUCCUUAUGUCACUGAUAAUUGAUCCACUCCUGCAAAAUGAAUAACCAAAAAUAUUGUUUUAUUUUCAUUACUGUAUGACACAUACUGUUAAAAAUUAAUCUGUAUAUAAAAAGGGAAUUACCUGAAUGAAGUCACUCUCAGUGACCGGAAUGAUUUAAAUGUUGCCUUGUAAAAAGGUGUAAGCUGCAGAAAAACAAAAUAAUCUCGGAAUAUAUGUGCUAUAUUUUUAGGGUUUGUGCUUCUUUAUUUUCCAAAGCAAACAUUGCAUUUACGCUGCAAUAAGUCAUUUGCCAAGUUUGUUUACAAUUCAUAGAAUUUCAGUUUCUUUGGUUACAUAUUGAAUCUGUUUCUUUUUUAACUAAAUAUUUUUAAUCUUUGAAAAAACUCAACAACACAGAAAUGCUAAUAAAAGCAUACCAAUUUGCAGGACUUUUCAAAAGCAUUCAAAUUUAAAACAUGAUCCAGUAAUACAAAGUUAUAUGUGCAUGCACAUUUGUUUAUACUGCUGUAAUCAUGUGAAUAAUUCCAAUUGUCUCUUGCUUACUCUAUGCAAUCAUAUAGAGGUACAUGUAAUGUCACACUAAAAUUACUUUUUUUUUUAAAGUUAUGUGUGUAUGUGCAUGCAUAUGUUUGGGUAUGAAACUUCAAAAGGAUACUUACAGCUGUCUCUACAAGCGUGCUUCGACUUGCAAAUUGUGGAGAGUUAGAAUCCGCCAAGGCUGGUGUGAAGUUUUCAUUUGAGGUGAAUGUCAACAAUAGUCCUGUUACUGGUUCAGCUGUUGUAGUUGUUACAGGUGUGGUGGUUGUAGGAGUCGUUGUGUUUGUGUUUGUAGGUGCAGUCAUCAUUGGUGUUGCAGUGUUUACAGGUGUAGUUGAAGCUGUUGUAGGCACCGCAGAUGUGUUUGUUCCUGGUGUGGUGUUUGUAACAUUUGCUGUGAUUGUGUUUGUAACUGUAGUCAUCAUUGGUGUUGUAGCACUCACAGCUGUGUUUGAAGCCACUGUAAAUGCCAAAAAAACAACAACAACAAAACAAGCCUAUUUGAACAAACAGUGUUAAGGUAUUGUGACUUUCAAGAACAAUAACAUGAAAUAUUGCUUACUGAUUAAAGGUGUGGUUGUUGUAGGAGUCGUUGUGUUUGUAGGUGCAGUCAUCAUUGGUGUUGCAGUGUUUACAGGUGUAGUUGAAACUGUUGUAGGCACCGCAGAUGUGUUUGUUGUAGGUGUGGUGUUUGUAACAUUUGCUGUGUUUGUGUUUGUAGAUGCAGUCAUCAUUGGUGUUGUAGUGCUAGUAGUCGAAUUUCCAGAUGUUGUUGGAACUCCAGUUGUUGUGGCAGUAACUGCUGUGCUCACAAGCUUUAUUACCACUGUAUGCAAAAAUCACAACAAUAAAGGCUUUUUAUAAAGCUUUCUUUUGUAUUUGUAUUUUAUUUUAUUUUUUAAUAAAGGAGUAACUUACCUAUAAAUGUCAAUAAAGCUUUAAAGAUUUGUUUGUUACCCAUUGUGGCUGGCUCUUGAACCUGUAGUAUUUGACAGUACAAGUAUUUACACAGCAAUAAACAACAACAAAACAACAAACAUAUUAAUGUACUUUCAAAUCUAUAGAUAUAUUUAUAUUAGUUUUAAGCACAUGUUAACCUUUUCCUUAUUUAGGCUAUUUGCAAUUCAGUUUGCUUUUCGAAAAUCAAAACUAAUUUGUGCUGCUGUUUUGGACUAUGUUGGUCAAUGCUAAAAAGAAAGAAUUAACAUCACCAAAACCCUCAACUGCUAUCAUUAACUAUAACACUACACUUAUUUGCCCUGAUUAUGAAAUCUAAUC